rnacentral:lncRNA from 1 species
AGUUUCUCCAAGCAGUUCACCUGACUUCUAGCGGGUUUCUGGGGAGGACCUGGAUCCAGCCUACCUUGAAUAAGAGCUGUGAGGGAGAUGGCUAUGACUUUUCUGGUUCCACCUAUCGUGGGAAUUCACCCUGGCUCCAUGAAUGUGUGACUAAUUUCCUGGACAGUCCGUCCUUCUCUCAUCUCUGCUGCCUCUCCAAGAGAGAGAACAAGAAUCGUAAGGACUGAAAGGGACCCCUGGAGAUCAUUGUGUCCAACCCCCUGCUAAAGCAGUUCCCUACGGCAGGCCACACGGGAAAGCAUCCAGAUGGGUCUCGAAUGUCUCCAGAGAAGGAGAAUCCACAGCCUCUCUGGGCAGCCUGUUCCAGUGCUCUGUCAGCCUCACAGUAAUGAAAUUCCUCUUUGUCUUGGUGUGGAACUUACUGUGUUCCAGUUUCUGCGCAUUGCCCCUUGUUCUGUUGCUGUGCACCACCAAAAAGAGUCCAACUCCAUGGACUCGAUUCUCACACUUCAGUUAUUUAUAAACAGUGAUGAGAUCCCCUUUCAGUCUUCUCUUCUCCAGGCUGAACAGACCCAGGUCUCUCAGCUUUUCCUCGUAACGGAAAUGCUCCAGGCCCUUUAUCAUCUUUGUUGCCUUCCACUGAAUUCUUUUCCUGUUCUCUUCCUGCUUACAUUGAAAGCAGGACAGCACCAUGGGCCUGACCCUAGGGAUACAAUACUGAUAAGAGCACAGGGCCAUUCCUCAGAUCUAAGUGACGCUGAGCAAUUUCUCUGCUCCAGGUUUUCAGUGCAAAAAUCCAUGCUUACCAAUGCAGCUCAUUAAUGCCUGAGAGCAACCUUCAAGUUACCUGUAAUACUCUCUGAAUCAGACAUGCAAUUUUAGCAUCUGUUUUUAUCUGGUAAUGGUGAGUAUCUAUGGCCUGUUUUCAGAGGUGACUUAUAUGCCUAAAUCCUAAUGAGUUAUUUUUAAGCUAGAAUGUCCUAGUUUCAGCUUCAGGUUCACCUACUGGACCUUGUUAUCAGUUCUGAGAGGAAAGACUGGUCAUUUUUAAUAACAUGGAAAAAAAAUAAUAAAGGGCAAAAAGGACAAUUAGAGCCCUUAAUGUUUACCAAGGGCAUGGAACCAUUAUAAGACUAAAGCAAGUGAUCAUUAGAGAUAACCUUUCUUCUUCUGGGAGGUACUGCUGUUAGGUAUACAAUGAAAUGGAACAGCACUCUGUCUUCGGGUCCAUUGAAGAGCCUUUGCUUUGUUUAAAUGACAUGUUUUUUUACACAGGGCUUGGUGUGCUGCCAUUAACAUGGUUUCACGCCUCCUUUGUGCUUUCAUUGCCCCAGGCCGAAUGGUUUCGGCAUUACAUGCUUCCUCUGAUAUGGAAUCUGACCAUACUGCUCCAGGCUACCUGGCCAGGAGUGGAAGAGACUGCUGUGGUUCCUGCUAACCCAGCCCCUGGGUGCUUCAUCUCCACCUGAGAUCUUCUGUAAAAACAAAUGCACAACGCUCCUGUGGGUGAACCAGUGAUGAGCCUGAUACCGUGGGCAGGGAAAUGUUACUGAUCUGUACUGUUAAAUGCAUAGCUCCAGUUCUUUGUUCUCUUCCUUGUUUGGACAAAUUAACUUCCCCUGCAGCUUGCACUUUCCCCUGGCAGUUGUGCUAGCAGCCUUUCACUAUGCUCACAUCAACUUCAUGGAUGCUGGCAUGCCCACUACCAAACUUGCACCUGGAUUUGAGAACUUUGGAACAGAAGUCCAGGCAGAGCUGUGAGGGAAUUACUGAAGAGUAAGAAAGGGUUCAGUGAAAAGGGGUCUGCAGAAACUAAGGGUAAAAGGAUUAGAAAUAGCUUACAGAAGCAAAUACGCAGAGGCCACUAGAAGAAUGGGAUAAUAACAAGAUAGGUUUAGGACAAUGCCGGGGUAGAAGAGAUAAAGAUGAGGGUGUGAAAACAGUUCAAAGACACCGGGCAAGGAGGUGAUAAGAUGUACCCAAAGUUAGAACUGGUUCGGGGGCUACCCCUCCCUCAGGGUCAGAAGUUUACAGUGAGGAAGACUACGAGCCUUCAUCCAACCACCAUCAGGAGACCCCCCCACUGCUCACGACGCAUGCAUGAGGGGGAGGGACCGUAUGCUAAGGAAUCUCGGAAAUGUAAUGAAUAUGUAUACGAAUUCUGGGAAAAUCAUCGAUUAUGUAUUAGUUCUGCCUAUAUCUAUACCAAGGUUUUGUCCUGAUGGCAUGCGAGUUAGGAGGAGCUAUCCCCCCUGCAUCUGGCUCUGUGCAGCGUUGAUUAAAACAUACCUGAUUUAUAACUACUUUGUGGCUAUAGCAUUUGAUUCUGCAAGUCAUUAUUUCUCUGCUAUAGAAGAGCUAGGACUGUAGAAUAUUGUUAGUGGCAUGUAUCUCAGAGGUAAGGAUUUAUUUCAUAGUGUCAUAGAAUCAUAGAAUCGCUAAGGUUGGAAAAGACCCACAGGAUCAUCCGGUCCAACCAUUCACCCAUCACCAAUGGUUCUCGCUAAACCAUGAGAUGCCAUAUUUGGUGGCACGGGACUCCUGAAGAGGAUGAGUAUCUGAACAGAAGUUAAUUUGUUGUUGUGGCUGAAUGGUGCGAAGAAACGUGGCCCCAUGGGUGUACCAGAAUUGAUAACAAGCCAAAGAACAGCAACAUCAGGAAAAGGUAACAGCCACGCACAGCUUGCUGUAAGAGUAGUGCCUACAAGAGGGGAUACAAACAAGACAAGGUGCUCAACCUUGCACCAAGUCAGUGCCAGGUGAAGUGAGCUGUGUA